CAGACUAUUUGCAGAGAGGGCCAACUACUAAUUUCAGCAGAAAGGACCCCAGCACCAUUCAGAAGAUUAAAGAGACCCUGAAUUUGAUGAGAAAUCAACACUUUGAGAGCUGAACAUCAAUGAUCUGUGGACAGUUUGGCAGUGGGAUGAGAAGGUGAUAGACCACUACACUAUGUUUACUGCAUGACGACCACUUCAUUGAUUGUGAAACUUCCAAUCAGUGAGGAUUCUCUUGACUUCCUAGUCGACCCAGCUAAAGACGCGUGAACAGAACCUGACCCGCCUGUUCCAAAGGAUGCAUUCCUACCACUUUGAGCAGAAUUCAGCAGACCUGGACAAGCGGCUAUCUGAUGGAAUACGCCCACUCAACACAGCUGAUUUAGAGAGAUACGGAGACCAGACUUACUUUGAGGAGAUCAAGCAGUUUUACUAGAGAGAUGAAUUCAGCCACCAGGUCCAGGAGUGGAACAUGCAGUGCACCCUUGUCAUUGAACGCUGCAGCAAUGAUGAUGAC